AUCAAAUGCAUAGAAGAUCCUCCAGAUAGCACUCUCAGGACUUGUCAAAGACUAAAACUUAGCUUUUAAUUAGCUUUCCAUAAAACAUCAACAUUGAUGUUUUAUGGAAAGCAAAUUAAAAGCUAAGUUUUAGUCUUUGACAAGUCCUGAGAGUGCUAUCUGGAGUAUCUUCUAUUCAUAUAGC